UACGGAAGGCAGCAGUGGGGAAUAUUGCACAAUGGGCGCAAGCCUGAUGCAGCCAUGCCGCGUGUAUGAAAAAGGCCUUCGGGUUGUAAAGUACUUUCAGUCGUGAGGAAGGUGUUAAGGUUAAUAACCUUAGCAAUUGACGUUAGCGACAGAAGAAGCACCGGCUAACUCCGUGCCAGCAGCCGCGGUAAUACGGAGGGUGCGAGCGUUAAUCGGAAUUACUGGGCGUAAAGGGCACGCAGGCGGUUAAUUAAGUUGGAUGUGAAAUCCCCGGGCUUAACCUGGGAAUGGCAUUCAAGACUGGUUAGCUAGAGUCUUGUAGAGGGGGUAGAAUUCCAUGUGUAGCGGUGAAAUGCGUAGAGAUGUGGAGGAAUACCGGUGGCGAAGGCGGCCCCUGGACAAAGACUGACGCUCAUGUGCGAAAGCGUGGGGAGCAAACGAGGGAUAGGAUAC
rnacentral:rRNA from 1 species